rnacentral:SRP_RNA from 1 species
AGGCUGGAGGAUCGCUUGAGUCCAGGA